rnacentral:rRNA from 1 species
UACGGGGGGGGCAAGCGUUGUUCGGAAUUACUGGGCGUAAAGGGCUCGUAGGUGGCCAACUAAGUCAGACGUGAAAUCCCUCGGCUUAACCGGGGAACUGCGUCUGAUACUGGAUGGCUGGAGAUUGGGAGAGGGAUGCGGAAUUCCAGGUGUAGCGGUGAAAUGCGUAGAUAUCUGGAGGAACACCGGUGGCGAAGGCGGCAUCCUGGACCAACACUGACGCUGAGGAGCGAAAGCCAGGG